rnacentral:rRNA from 1 species
GACGAACGCUGACGGCGUGCCUAAUACAUGCAAGUAGAACGCACAGUUUAUACCGUAGCUUGCUACACCAUAAACUGUGAGUUGCGAACGGGUGAGUAACGCGUAGGUAACCUGCCUGGUAGCGGGGGAUAACUAUUGGAAACGAUAGCUAAUACCGCAUAAUAUUGAUUAUUGCAUGAUAAUUGAUUGAAAGAUGCUAUUGCAUCACUACCAGAUGGACCUGCGUUGUAUUAGCUAGUAGGUGAGGUAACGGCUCACCUAGGCGACGAUACAUAGCCGACCUGAGAGGGUGAUCGGCCACACUGGGACUGAGACACGGCCCAGACUCCUACGGGAGGCAGCAGUAGGGAAUCUUCGGCAAUGGACGAAAGUCUGACCGAGCAACGCCGCGUGAGUGAAGAAGGGUUUCGGAUCGUAAAGCUCUGUUGUAAGAGAAGAACGGGUGUGAGAGUGGAAAGUUCACACUGUGACGGUAUCUUACCAGAAAGGGACGGCUAACUACGUG